UACGGGGGGGGGCAAGCGUUGUUCGGAAUUACUGGGCGUAAAGGGCUCGUAGGCGGCCAACUAAGUCGGAUGUGAAAGCCCUGGGCUCAACCCAGGAAGUGCACUCGAAACUGCCAGGCUUGAAUAUGGAAGAGGGUCGCGGAAUUCCCGGUGUAGAGGUGAAAUUCGUAGAUAUCGGAAGGAACAUCAGUGGCGAAAGCGGCUUCCUGGACCAGUACCGACGUUCAGGCACGAAGACGUGGGGAGCAAACAGGAUUAGAACUACCCGUGUC
rnacentral:rRNA from 1 species